GUGGCUAAAAUAUCAUUAUGUUAACAGCUGCUUCUGCUGAAUUUUAUUUUCCGUUGGUUUGCAUUUUUUUGUUUAUUUGUAUUAAUCCCCCCUCCCCCUCAACGAAAAUGGCGGAACCACACAAACAAGCCACAUUGGUGGAGUGGAUGAGUAAUUCUUCUCAGGCGACCUCCGCGUCAUGUACGCACACAAAGACGGCUACCGCUUAGUGCACACGCAGCAAGGUAAAUCUUCCUUAACUUUGUCUUAUUACGAACAACACUUAAACUUAACUGCAUCCAUAAAAUGUAUAAUAUUUUGAUUAAAAAAAUAAUAAUUGUAGUUAUUUUCAUGUGUUUACUUAGAGCAAAACCAGCCAGGAGUUAAUGUUCUCCCAACCUGAAAACACAACAAAAACAAAUAAUCUUUUUAUGUUUUUUAAGAUAAGAAAGUAAGCAAACCAGAAAAUAUUUGUUGCUCCUUUUGCCCGUUUGUUGCGACCAUUUAAAUAGUUGUUUUUUUUUCAUAUUGUAGAAAAGGUAAAAAAAAAAAAAAAAACAGCAAUUUUCAUUCAACAGACUAGAUUUCCUGCAAUGAAUAGCUUUUUAGUGUUCAGUGUUCAACCCCUUGAUAAUAGCUCCCAACAUAACAAUUUUAUAUUUACUAAAGCAAGGCUUUAUUCAAACAUGAUUUGGAAAACCCUUACAGGCUUGUUUUGUUCUGUUUUUACACCUACAUGUUUUAGCUCAUUCAGCUAAUUUUAAAAACAAACCAAGAUUACCUAAAGAAAUGCAAAAUGCAGAUUUGAAAUAAUUUUCUCUUUUACGGAGGAGUAAAGCAAUCCAAACCAACAGCUGAAAAUAUAAUUAACUCUUGUUUUUAAACCACAUUUUUUUUACUUUUUUUUUUUUUAAUUUCACCCAAACCUGAUUAGAGUAGCAUUUGAAGAAUCAAGAAAUUACACACACACACAAAACACACCUUGUUUGACAUCAUGAAGUGGGCUAAAAUAUGGCAAAAA